rnacentral:lncRNA from 1 species
GCCAGGUCUUGUAGAGUCCUACAGUCCACUGUAUCGACUUUGACUUUUUCUCCAAAUGGGAUGAGAAGCCAUUGGGGAAUUCUGAGCAGAGAAAUUAUAUAAUCCAAUUUAUGUUUAACACUGGCUGCCGUGUGGAGACUAGAUUAAAAAGGGAGUAUCGGGGAGCAAUGGUCUAACAUUACUAUAUGUCAAGUACUGAUGAAGGGGCCUUUUUAUAUAUUAAUUAAUUAUCAUGUAGGUAAUAACCUUUUGAGGUAGGUAUUAUUAACAUUGUUCCCAUUUGUGGAUGAGGAAACUGAGGCAUGGACAGAGUAAACAACUUCCAAGGCCCCACAGAUAAUAAGUGGAAGAAUUGGAAUUCAAACCCUGCAGAUCUAUUCCAGAGCCCCCUGCUCUUAGCCCCUAUCCUGCUCCACAUGGGAUGGGUGGAGAUAGGAGUUAAGCGGCUUUGAAGGCUAGGCUAAGAAAUUGGGACCUAUAUUAUGUGCUUAUUGGGGAGCUACUGAAGAUUUCUGAGCAGAAAACAACAUGCAUAAAAUAUUGUUAAGACUGGUUGGAGAGGGAGAGAUGGAAAGCCGGGAGUCCAUUUGGAAGACUUGCAGAGAUUCUGGCAAGGUCAAAGAAAUUCCCCAAGGUUCCCCAUCCUCAAUCAAACUGAGGCUUUACAGAUAACAGGUCCAGACCAGAAAGAAGUUUUAUGGUUGGUUUUGGGGACCCAGGGAGAGGAUUCAGGAAACCCUAAUAGAUGUGGCUCCUGACUGACAAAUUCUAGUGUUAUCUUCUGUGACUUUAUCUCCUAAUCUUCAAGAGAGGUAUCCAAAUUGAUGAAGAGAAGAUCUAUAAUCAUCUUUCUAUUCCUUGACAGGAAGACUUCUCCUAUAAACCGAGUAGGAUUUGGGUUUUAUCCAUGAAGUCUGCUUCCAUGGGGAGAAGAGGAAGUCAUGUCUGGAACAGUGGCGAGUCUUUAAUUUCUGUGUGUGCCUGACCUCACAUCUGGACCAUGUGGCAGGAAGGGAAAAGGAUCAUUAAAACCAUCUUACAAUGAGGCCCAGAGAGAUCAAGUGACUUUCUCAUGAUUACACAGUGACCCAGGGAUGCUCCGAUGAGAACAGUGGAUGCUCUAUAGUAAGAAUUUGGGGAAGCCUUUCUUCUGAUUGAAAGUCACUGACCCAUGGAAGGAUCAGUCAGUCAGAGGCACCCACUUAAAAAGCAAGUUAAUUUAAG